rnacentral:lncRNA from 1 species
ACAAGAUAAAUCUACAAAGCCGAAAAAAAUAGGCAACAUUUUAAGUACUCAUGAUGCAUAAUAUGCUUCUAGGUUUGGCCAACUGUUACUUGGGUGAAUUUCCAGUACGUCCCUCAUUUAUUAUCUGAGCAAGAAAUGAAAAAUUAACAUUGAUGGCUACUAAGUAGUGGAUCCUCAAAAGACAAAUCCAAAUCAAGAUGAAUAAAAGACAAACCCAAGCCAAAACGUAGCACUUGUUGGAUGCAAAAAUAAUAAAAAAGAGAAAAAGAAGUGGAGCUUACUGUGAUUUAUGCAAGAUGAUGACUGCUGCUGGACUGUUGGUUGAGAAAUUGUGAAAUCGUGGCUGAGUUGCUAAGAGAUGAAGGGAAAGAGAGUGUGAAAUGUGAGAUUAGGGCCAGCUGCUCUAAUUGCUAUUUCACUUUGCUUUAGCCAAUUGCUUAAAAUUAUAAUAUUAACCUCCCAAUUUUAAAAAGUUUUCAAAUAAAUUUAAGGAUAAAAAAGUAAUUUAAUUAAAUGAAUUGACUUGUAUUCAAUUCGUUUAUGACAUGUCUAUUAAACAAAUCUUAAACGAAUAGACGAAUCUAAAUCUUUAAACCCGCAUUCGAUUCGUUUAAUUAGCGAAUCGAAUCGAAUUCACCCAUUUAUUAAACGAAUCCAUUUUUUCAAACCCAAACUCAUUUAAUGCGAAUCGAAUCGAAUCGAAUAAACGAAUCCCGACUCAUAUUGUCACCCCUAGUUUGGAUGAGAUCUUAGUCAAAAGCUGGCUAAAACAUCCUUUUUACUUUUG